GGCUGCGCCGACACCUCCACAGUCGUCUUUGGCGUCUGAUGGCUGGCUAGGGUGGUCUGACUCGCUGUCUGGGUUGUUUGUCACACGCCGGAUUGGGAACUGGAUCUCCAGAGGUGCACAUGUCACAGAGAUGGUAGUAGAAGUACGAGAGAUGAGUGAUGGUGUGGCUGUACAUGUCCUUUCUUAAGCCCUGUUCACAUUGUGCUGACAUCGACUUUUAUGCCCCCCUCUCCUACGAUUUGCGACACUUUCACAUCAAAAUUUCACUCCCAAGACCUCAUGUACCCCAAGUCGCUGGGUUCUCGUGGCCCGGAGUCUGCACAGUGUGACCGGGACUUUAUCUUGCCCUACGACUGUCAUAUAAUAUUGAGUAUAUCUCCCUUUGUGUUGUAGGACGUUGACUAAUUUUUAUUUUUUUAUUUCCCCCUCCCCCUCUUUUUUUUUCUUUUUUUUUCCCCCCUCCCAUUAUCGACUUUCCUGUGAGGUCACCAAGACAGCGGCCGGCCAGGGACGAGAACCACAAGAGGUGGAGGAGAAUGAGGAAGAGGAAGGGCGGUGGAGAGGCGGAAGAAGAGUGGAGGAGGAGGCUGUGUGGAGAGGUGGUGUGCUGGAUGGAGACUUGACAACGGUAUCUGGUGUGCUGGAUGAAGACUUGACAAUGGUAUCUUCACACGCCUGGCAGAGGACGACCAAGAAAAGAAGAAGAAGAAGAGAAGAAAGAAGACAAGAGAAGAAGGCUAUCACACAUACAGGAAUCGCAGCAUCAAGAGGAAAGAUUCAGGUUAUAUAUAAAUUUAAAAUGCAAGAAAUAUUUCACAGUGUAAUGUACCGGGUUAUAUUUUUACAUGCAUGUAUGUACUAUGUGAUAUGUUUACGCAUUUACGAAGGCGAUAUAUUUAAACGUAACAUCCCGGGUUAUAUAUUUGUAAGUGUAUGUACUACGCGAUAUAUUUUAAGCGUAAGGUACUGGGUUAUAUCUGUAAGUGUAUGUACGAAGCGAUAUAUUUUAAGCGUAAGGUACUGGGUUAUAUCUGUAAGUGUAUGUACGAAGCGAUAUAUUUUAAGCGUAAGGUACUGGGUUAUAUCUGUAAGUGUAUGUACGAAGCGAUAUAUUUUAAGGGUAAGGUACUGGGUUAUAUCUGUAAGUGUAUGUACGAAGCGAUAUAUUUUAAGCGUAAGGUACUGGGUUAUAUCUGUAAGUGUAUGUACGAAGCGAUAUAUUUUAAGCGUAAGGUACUGGGUUAUAUCUGUAAGUGUAUGUACGAAGCGAUAUAUUUUAAGCGUAAGGUACUGGGUUAUAUCUGUAAGUGUAUGUACGAAGCGAUAUAUUUACGAAUAUUCUAAGCGUAAUGUUUUGAGUUGAAUAUUCGUAAGAGUGUGUACUAAUCUAUAUAUUUCCGUAUCUACCAUUGGGAUAUAUUUUAAGUGUGUGCUAUGGGAAAAUACGUAUGGCUAUUGACAAUAUCUGCAUGGGAAAAUAUUUAAGUGUAUGUGUUAAGGUAUAUAUUUACGUAUCUACCGAGGGAUAAUAUUUAAGGGUAUGGACGAAGCGAUAUAUUUACAUAAAAGGAUAUAUUUUAAGCAUAAGGUAUUGGGUUAUAUUUCUACGUAUGUGUACUAUGC